rnacentral:rRNA from 1 species
CCUGAUGCAGCGACGCCGCGUGAGUGAAGAAGUAUCUCGGUAUGUAAAGCUCUAUCAGCAGGGAAGAAAAUGACGGUACCUGACUAAGAAGCCCCGGCUAACUACGUGCCAGCAGCCGCGGUAAUACGUAGGGGGCAAGCGUUAUCCGGAUUUACUGGGUGUAAAGGGAGCGUAGACGGCGACGCAAGUCUGGAGUGAAAGCCCGGGGCCCAACCCCGGGACUGCUUUGGAAACUGUGUUGCUGGAGUGCAGGAGAGGUAAGUGGAAUUCCUAGU